UACGUAGGGUGCAAGCGUUGUCCGGAAUUAUUGGGCGUAAAGAGCUCGUAGGCGGUCUGUCGCGUCUGCUGUGAAAACUCGGGGCUUAACCCCGGGCCUGCAGUGGAUACGGGCAGACUAGAGGUAUGCAGGGGAGAACGGAAUUCCUGGUGUAGCGGUGGAAUGCGCAGAUAUCAGGAGGAACACCGGUGGCGAAGGCGGUUCUCUGGGCAUUACCUGACGCUGAGGAGCGAAAGCAUGGGGAGCGAACAGG
rnacentral:rRNA from 1 species